AGGUGCGAUCAUACCAGCACUU
rnacentral:rRNA from 1 species